rnacentral:rRNA from 1 species
ACGUAGGAGACAAACGUUAUCCGGAGUUACUGGGCGUAAAGAGCGUGUAGGCGGUUUGUUAAGUCUGGCGUGAAAGCUCUCGGCUAAACCGGGAGAGGUCGUUGGAUACUGGCAAACUAGAGGACGGUAGAGGCGUGUGGAAUUCCGGGGGUAGUGGUGAAAUGCGUAGAGAUCCGGAGGAACACCAGUGGCGAAGGCGACACGCCGGGCCGUACCUGACGCUAAAGCGCGACAGCAUGGGGAGCAAACGGG